CCCUGAGCAGGUUUUAUUCAUGGUUUACUGAUACCCGCCGUCUCGGGUUACUGUGGGGGAGGGACGCCAUAUCAGCCCGUCUUUGUCUCUGCAGCCACCCAAUCACGACUGAGAGCCUGCUCUCUCUCCCGUCAGCCCACUGCAUGUUUUAAAGAAAAAGCUGAGGCUAAAUGUGACGGAUCAGAACCAGAUCUUGUCACAUUGGGAAAUGGAUGAGUUGUUAAAUGUAUAUAUCUGUGCAGUGAAGUUGUAAUACUUGUUUUUGAGUUGUUUUUCUCCCAUUAGAGCCCAUUUCUGCCCUCCGGUAGGGCAACCAUGUGACUCCACGGUGGGAUACCCGGUGAGGAGGUCCAGGGUCCUGAGGGCCAGCCAGGAUUUCAGCAUGUCCUGAAACUGGCCGGGGCCCUGGUGGAAGCCAGGAGUCUCCAGGGGCUCGGAGAGAGACGGGUACACAGACUCAUCGUGCUCUGGCAACGCCUGCCAGAGCGCGAUGAGCAGAGAGUCGUCUACCCAUCCAGACACCAGGACAGACGGUCCAAGGGUUCAAGGCAGCAAAGGGGAAGAACACUUCCUGUCCUGGGAAGGAAAGUCUCCAGCGCUGCUACUCCGACUCAACUCCUGGUGGAGGCCGUUUGCAGGUUUUUACCCCGACUGGACUCCGAGACGGUAGUUUUUACUGUGAACUGGACUCUGAGACUGUGGGUUUUCCCGUUUUUAACGCUGAAUUGAAGUCCCUGACCGCGUCU